rnacentral:lncRNA from 1 species
AGAUAAUUGAAUCACGGGGGUGGUUUCCCUCAUACUGUUUUCAUGGUAGUGAAUAAGUCUCACGAGAUCUGAUGGUUUUAUCAGGAAUUUCCACUUUUGUGUCUUUCUCAUUCUCUCUUUGCCUGCUGCCAGCCAUGUAAGAUGGGACUUGCUCCUCCUUCCCUUCCACCAUGAUUGUGAGGAUUCCCUACCCAUGUGGGACUGACCAUCUAUGCCAUCUUGGACUCACUCUGUUCUUCCUGACACAACUACAGUGAGAUGAAGGAAAGAGACAGGAUCAUCUUCAAGGAAGCACCAAGGGAGGUGUUCAUGAGCAGAUGCCAUCAGAAUGGAUCCAAAUGCAAGCAUGCCAGGAGGAUGAGCCUUGUUUUCCCUCCAGUAGAAAGAAGAAGAAACUUUGCAACUUAGAAGAAACAUUCUGCAGCUUAGAAAAACAGAAAUGCUCUCUGCAGACAGGAUGGUUGCCUGGCAUAUCCAUCUUGCCACCAUGAGAGAAGGACUUCAGCCUGCCCAAGAAUGGAUUCCAUCCAGAGGACAAAAGUGCCCAGAAAAGAGAAAGCAAGACCAUGUUCUCCUCAGAAUAUGUCAGCCUCAGAACCAGCCCUCACUUACUGCUGGCCUUGACAUUUAAAUGAACCCACAAAUUCUCAGUUGUUACUGAAGUGGGCUUGAGACGGUUUUUUGUCACAUUGGGUGUGCUGAAAUAGUUGUGGACUAUUAUAGAAAGGUAAUGAUGUAUUUUCUAUUUCUCAUAGUUAGUAACUGGAACCAGACAAAUUAUCUGCCUAAAGCCAGUCAUUUAGUGAAGUAACUAGGGCCCAUACCUGUGACUUGUAUAUUAGAGUUUUGAGUAUUCUAUUCACUAGAUCAUACAGUUUUCUCAAACAUAUCUGUGGAAGUUACUUAGAAAAAAUAAAAUACAAAUUUCUUUUCUGGAUUCUUUCCCUAUACAUUUAGUUAUUCAUUUUCCAUCACUUAGUUACUCUGACGGCUCAGAUUUUAUUGUGCUAUAGAAGAGUUCUCAAAGCAUAAGGUUACCAUAUGGGCAUCAGAAGUUUUAUUCAUUCCAAACCGAACAGAAUGUCUUUGGCAUUGACUGGCUAUACUUUGUUCAAAAGAUGCAUGGUCAAAUAUAUUUUCAUAUGAAUUUGCAUAUAUGUGGCUGCACAACCAUUGGAUUGGACACAUGGAAGAUGAUAAUGUGUGCUCUUGAAACAAGCAGUGCCAUUUCUGCCCUGGUCCAAACUCAAAUGGUUCUCUUUUGUCGUAGGAGUCAAAUUUAUUUUUCCUGCCCUUCAAAGAUACAAUACUUCCUUACAAAUUACCUCGCAAGGAUAGAACUGGGUAUUUCAGAUUUUCAUAUAUAGAAGCUGCCCUGGGUCUUGCUGCUGCCUCUCCCCUUCAAAGCAGCUGUCUCCAGAUACAGGAUUGCCAGCUUCCAGAAGACCAAAAUUGUUGUGCCUUGCUUUGAUUUUCCAGAAUGUGGGACCAGCCUUUGUGGUUACUUAGUUCAUGUGUUUUGGGGAAACUGAAGCUAUCUCUUGCACCCAGGAAUAGACAUAAAUGUGUGGGUAAAGAUAGGGAUGCUCUAGAAACAGCUGCUGAACUAACAAUGAAAACAAAUGAAUACAAUUUCUCAUCUUUAGGAAGUCAUUGCUAGCCAAACUAUUACUAUGCAAACUAUGUAAUAUUUGUCAUAGCGUAUAAAAUAUUAUUCCAUCUACCCAUAUUUGUGGACAUUUGUAGCAAAUAAGUGGGGUAAAGGAUAGGGACUGUGACAAUGAUAUGGCAUGAAUCUCACUGACUCAGAGGAAAUGAAAAACCAUGAACUCGGCUUUUUAAAUUCAAUACAGUAAACUUAAUACAGAACCACAUCAAAUCAGAUCUGUAAAGGAUAUUAAUGAUUAUUUGUGCCAACUCCUUACCAUAUGUGAAAAGAGAAAAUAGAAUCCCAACAAAGAUGCAUAAGACCCUGUACCUUGACCCAAGGACUAUUCAGAUGUCUUGCAUUCUAGAAAAAAGAAUAUUGUGGAUUUAUUUGCUUUAGUUUUGACCAGCACAGCCUCCACAGAAGCAUAGUCCAACUCAGUGGGUGGAUGUUAUCCACAGUGGCAGCUGUUAUCACCCCAAGGCAAGGCUAGUGACCAUGCUUUUGAGGAGAGCUGUGCAAACCCCACAUACAUACAUUUGAAUCUCACCACAGUUGACUGAAAAACCUAGAUAUAGGAGUCUGCACCUCCUCCUCAAAAUGUGAGAAAAGUAAAAAACAUUUAGCAAUGGUACUCAAGGUCCUCCAGCCACGUGAAUAGAGCAAAAUUGGUCCAAUAUAUUUUAAAUUACAAUAGUAGUAUAUUAGAAAGGGAAAUAUAAGGGAAACUUUUAGUUAUAAUUUUCUGUAGACAUUAAUAUUUAUUCUUGUAUACAUCAGACUUUCUACAGAUAGACGCCAUGAUAAUAUAGAAGAUUCAUUUUAUGAAAUAUUCUUUCUCAAUUAUUCACAAAUCUGAAUGUUGUCUUGUUAUCGUUAAGUACAUAAUAUGAAUUUAUUAUCUAUUCUCCCUGCCUGGCAUGAAACAUCAUUUAGAUAAUCAUAGAUUCUACUGAAGAGGAAGAAAUUUGAAUAAUGUUAACAAGCAAUUCAUGGUGGGGCUUUUAGUCAACUUUAUUUUUCUAGUUCGACUUAACAUAGUGAUUCACAAAGCUUACUUCCUCCUAAGAAUUCACAUAACCAUGAAAAAAGUACUUUUGGCCAUAAAACAGGAUGAGAUCAAAUGUAUCUCAAAAGCAACUAUUGUCAGCUAUAUUCAAAAUGCAUCAUUCUUUGAUCUAAAAUGGAGAAAGUAAGUGUGGCCAUGGCUACACAGCAGUAUGGAUUGGGGAGAGAAUACUUCAACAUGCAAGAGAAAAAUGUGAUCUUAAUUAUAGGGACUUGUAAUUAAUGCAUUUCAGGCCUCAACAUUUAAGUUGCAUUUUGGUAACUUUUAAGUAAAUAAAAAUUUUAAAUGAAUAAAUAAAGCUUUUAAAUAGUUUUUAAAUAAAUAACUUAAAACUAAGAAAUCUGUUUUUAUGCCUUUUUUCCAAUCUAUCAAAUUGACAAUAUAACAGAUCUGCAUUGUUCCUGCAUCAUUUCAGGUGGCCUGAAAUUUGACAAGAAGAGGACAUAUGAAUGUCUUCUGUAAGGUUAGAUGAAGAUCCCAAUGCACUGAGUCAAGGUCUCUGAAUCGUGGGGAACAUGAGGUAGUUACCCCAAGCAGAAGCAGAGGCCACAUCCCUCAGCUCGGUGUCCAGUGGCCCCACAUUCAUUCAUACUGGGAGAUAGCAGCAAGGAAUGAUACUUUCUUUGCAAUACAUGGUACUGUCGAAAUGAAAAACUCAAUAAUCCCUUACAGGAUCUCCAUCAUUUUUUUCGGGGGUGGGGGGUAGCUAGGGACGUAUAGACUCUAUACUAACAAUCUUGGCCCUUAACUAGAAAUAUCAUGGCCGACCAGUGACCUUUUGGAUACAUAUGGACCUCAAGCCAAAUACAGCCACAGCAAGGCCACAGGCUCAUGAAGAGGAAGAAGGCAGGGUCGGUGCCCAGGCAUCCUUCGAGAAGCUCUGUCUCCAACUUUUCUCAUCUGGAAAGCCCCUCUUCCUUUUGCUCAUUGCAAAAUCUGACUUAACACUCUUUUAUCUGGCAGUGCUUAAAGUGAGUUUGACCUGAGGUCCACAAUUGCUAAUUGUUGAAAGAGAACUAGAAACACUUGCUUAAUUCCGAGGGUCAACAUCAAAAACAAACCUGACCAAAGUUGCAGAGGAGGUAUUUUACAACUAACAACAACCUUAACCUGACUUCGUUUAUCAAAUGUCCUCAGAAUUAUGAUACACCCAGAUCUUUGGCAUUGUAUUUUUUUGUCCACCGAACAAAACCGGGAAGCUACCAAAAGUCAUGCAUGGAAUUCAUGUGUACCACUAGCAGUGUGUGAGAUCAGCAGAAUGUUUCUGAAAGCUAAGAGCUGUAUUCAAAGAACUGAUCACAAUUGCAUUUGAAAUAAGUUAUCUGCCACUAUUUCUUUUGGCCAUAAUGUGGCAAAUGUUAUAUAGACAAGAAAAUAUUUAGUAAAAGUUGGAAGUAUUUGCAAAAUAUUUGUGCAGAAGUUUGCAUCUUUAAUUGUAUGACCUCAUUGUAGUUGCACAGGGAGACUCCAGCUACAUCUUAUCUUUUCAAAAUACUCCUGAGCAAUGGCUUUCCUACAACCUCUUUGGAAUGUAGCAUUAUCAGCUUCUAUUUCCCCAAUUUCCUAUAAUUCAAUAAAAAGUCAGCAAUAACAUGUCCAAGGGCAUGUUAUCUCAAAUGUGGAUUUUAAUGAAACACAAAUAUGCCCAUGCAUGUUUUAGCAAAUUGUUCUGGACCAUGCAAAAAUGCAUUAAAAGUGGAGGCAUAUUUACAUUUGUUUUGCAUUUGUUAUUUAAGAGGUCAGACUAUGCAAAGUGCAUCCACUUUUGUCAAUAGCUUCAAGGAGAAGAAAAUUUUAUUAAAGUUAGAUUCAUGACAAACAGAUGAGUUAAUAUCUGUCAUUUGGGGGAAAAGGUUUUGAGAGGCUACAUUUUUAAAAUAAUAGGCAUUUAUUACUUUUCCAAAACUGAGAAUACUUAACAAAUGUGCCUGUCUAUUUUAAACCAGGUAUACUGGUCUGCAGGUAAAUUUCCAAUUAAAAAGCCAACUUAAUUAUAAGCAGUUUACAGCACAAAGGGAGAUUGUUAUAUAGUCUGGAAUUGGCCCUGGAAAUUUUAAUAUAAAAAAUAAAAUUAGUAGUAGAAGAAUAAAAGACAUUUAGUGAUUUCCAAAAACUUUUAGAGACA